CCGAGUGAGGGCCUCCGGGCCCGACCUCCCACCCUGAUUUAACCAACUUCUGUUGCCUCGGGGGCGACCCGGUCGCGUCGGAUUCCCGACGUCGGCGUCGGGGCCCCCGACGGACCCCCUUCUCACGCUGCAUCUUUGCGUCGGGUUGAUCAGAAAAUCAAUCA
rnacentral:misc_RNA from 1 species